CUUAGCAUCUUUACCUGCUGUUUCUCAAUCCACACUCCCCAUGUCUCAGGUCUGAGCCAAGCAAGUCAGCUGGAUCUGACCGAAGCCCCAUAAAGACAGGUUUUCCUUAAUUGAAAGCACAUUUCCAAAUGAGAUACAUCGAAUUAACAUCACCAUCACUUGUGCCAUAUACUGAGCAUAUGCCCGACAAGAGUGGACACAUGCCGCCUGCAUCCUUGAUCA